rnacentral:rRNA from 1 species
GUUGUUCGGAUUUACUGGGCGUAAAGGGCGCGUAGGCGGCCACCGCAAGUCGACUGUGAAAUCUCCGGGCUUAACUCGGAAAGGUCAGCCGAUACUGCGGGGCUAGAGUGCAGAAGGGGCAACUGGAAUUCUCGGUGUAGCGGUGAAAUGCGUAGAUAUCGAGAGGACCACCUGCGGCGAAGGCGGGUUGCUGGGCUGACACUGACGCUGAUUGUGCGAAAGCUAGGGGAGCGAACGGG